rnacentral:misc_RNA from 1 species
UCAACCCUCAAGCCUGGUUUGGUGAUGGGGCACUGUCUGUAAAAGGGCAGGUCUGAAAUUCAGUGGCGAGCUCGCCAGGCCCCAGCGCAGUAGUUAAACCCUCGCUUGGAAGGCCCUGGCGGUGCCCGGGGGUUGAGGAAUGAUAGGAAUAGG